GUGCCAGCCGCCGCGGUAAUACGUAGGGGGCGAGCGUUAUCCGGAAUUACUGGGUGUAAAGGGUGCGUAGGCGGUAUGGCAAGUCAGUUGUGAAACCCCCUGGCUCAACCAGGGGCUUGCAAUUGAAACUGUCAUACUAGAGUGCAGGAGAGGAAAGCGGAAUUCCUAGUGUAGCGGUGAAAUGCGUAGAUAUUAGGAAGAACACCAGUGGCGAAGGCGGCUUUCUGGACUGUAACAGACGCUGAGGCACGAAAGCGUGGGGAGCGAACAGGAUUAGAUACCCUGGUAGUCCACGCCGUAAACGAUGAGUGCUAGGUGUUGGGGUCUAAUUAGAUCUCGGUGCUGAAGUUAACGCAUUAAGCACUCCACCUGGGGAGUACGAUCGCAAGAUUGAAACUCAAAUAAAUUGACGG
rnacentral:rRNA from 1 species